rnacentral:rRNA from 1 species
AGGGUUCGAUUCUGGCUCAGGAUGAACGCUGGCGGCGUGCCUAAUACAUGCAAGUCGAACGAGAGUGCUUGCACUCUAGUGGCGAACGGGUGAGUAACACGUAGGUAACCUGCCUUACAGUUUGGGAUACCCUGGCGAAAGCUAGGCUAAUACCGAAUAAUUGGAUUGGAGGCAUCUCCGAUCUCUAAAAGGGGCCUUUAAAGCCUCGCUGAAUGAUGGACCUGCGGCACAUUAGCUAGUUGGUGAGAUAACAGCCCACCAAGGCGAGGAUGCGUAGCCGACCUGAGAGGGUGAACGGCCACACUGGAACUGAGACACGGUCCAGACUCCUACGGGAGGCAGCAGUAGGGAGUUUUCGGCAAUGGGGGCAACCCUGACCGAGCAACGCCGCGUGAAUGAUGAAAGGUCUUCGGAUUGUAAAGUUCUGUUAUAAGGGAAAAAUGAUAUGGUGAGGAAAUGCUCCAUAUUUGAUGGUACCUUAUUAGAAAGCCACGGCUAACUACGUGCCAGCCGCAGC